UACGUAGGGGGCAAGCGUUGUCCGGAUUUAUUGGGCGUAAAGAGCGUGUAGGCGGUUUGGUAGGUCCGCUGUGAAAACUCGAGCUCAACCUCGAGACGCCGGUGGAAACCAUCAGACUAGAGUCCGGAAGAGGAGAGCGGAAUUCCUGGUGUAGCGGUGAAAUGCGCAGAUAUCAGGAGGAACACCGGUGGCGAAGGCAGCAGCUGGGCGACACCUGACGCUGAGGCGCGAAAGCGUGGGGAGCGAUCCGG
rnacentral:rRNA from 1 species